rnacentral:sRNA from 1 species
AGAAAAAAAUUGACUACUUUUUUCUUUCUUUUUUUUUUUUUUAAUCUUUUAGUUGAUUGUAGCCUAAAUCAAAAGUGAUGUGCUCUCUAAUGUAUAAUUGACACACACACAUAAACACGCACACACCAAAAUCUCUCUCACACACACACAUACACAGGUUACACCUUGAUGUGCCAUUGUCUGUGAGGGUAGGCUUGAUGUGAAUGACUAGUUCAUACUAUGACAUUUCUUUAUACUGUAAUUAUUUUGUUGUCUGCCAAAGAUGGGUUGUCUGUGAUCUUAGAAUUUCUAUUAUUUUUCAGAUGUCUUUUUCCAUUUCUGUUUGUUAUAAUUGCUUGUUUUCAUAUGUAUAGCAGAAAUAAACUGUUUCAUAAAUGGAG